rfam:Aedes albopictus isolate Foshan contig111610, whole genome shotgun sequence.
UAGCCCAGUGGUUAAGGCUAUGGAUUGCCAAUCCGGAGACGGUGGGUUCGAUUCCCGU